UACGGAAGGGGCAAGCGUUGUUCGGAAUUACUGGGCGUAAAGAGCGCGCAGGCGGCUUACCAAGUUGGGGGUGAAAUCCCGGAGCUCAACUCCGGAACUGCCAUCAAAACUGGUAGGCUCGAGUCCGGAAGAGGGGCGUGGAAUUCCCAGUGUAGAGGUGAAAUUCGUAGAUAUUGGGAAGAACACCGGUGGCGAAGGCGGCGCCCUGGUCCGGUACUGACGCUGAGGCGCGAAAGCGUGGGGAGCAAACAGG
rnacentral:rRNA from 1 species